rnacentral:tRNA from 1 species
GAAUAUGAAGCAAAAUUUGCAAUUAGUUUCGACCUAAUCUUAGGUAUAUUAUAUCCUUAUUCU